AAAUCUCUGUUUCAGUCAGAAACCAGAGGCCUUGCUUAGAAAUUUCACAAAGGACCUGUUCUGAUAUAGAGACAUCUGGUGAUACUAUCUGUUGAUUGCAAAGAAAAAUAUACCUGACUAAUAAGAAGAAAAUGAAUGGUGCAUAAUGACCCAAUCUCCUUUGGAUAUAAUAAAACUAUGCCUGAUUUGUGGUUUUCGUUUACAUUUAGGGGCAAGAAUCAUUGCUCUCUUUGAAUGACUCUAGUUCCCAGCAUAGAGGUUUGUAUUUACUAGACCACCAAUAAACAUUGGUUAGGUUCAGGCUCUGAGCCUCUGACUUUCUGGUCCAGGUAGCAAGUGUCUGCAGGAUUUCUAGACCCCAUGCUCUUACACCAGCUUGUCUAUGAAGAUGGAAGACAAAGCUUUUCUUUCCAAGAAGAAACUGAAAACAUCAACUCAAGUCUUGACUUUGGUUGGGAAAGAGUAACUGCAGUAAUUAGGACCCAAUUGAUGGCAAAGGGGUAUGAUCUAGAAUACCUGAAACUUGGUAAUUUAUGAAGAAAAGGAAUUCAUUUCUUACAGUUAUGGAGGCUGAGAAGUCCAAGGUCCAGGGGCAUAACAG
rnacentral:lncRNA from 1 species